AUGGCCCUGAAUCAAUGCCAGCAUUUUGUUGUAGCUGUUGGUUUCUGACAGGAACUUAAAAAGAAAUCUUUCUAGGGUUUGUUGACCAUUUCAGAACUUUGGAAAGAUAAUGGUCAAUUCAUUAGAAAGAAAUUGCU
ensembl:snoRNA